AUUGAACGCUGGCGGCAGGCCUAACACAUGCAAGUCGAACGAGUGGCGGACGGGUGAGUAAUGUCUGGGAACCUGCCCGAUGGAGGGGGAUAACUACUGGAAACGGUAGCUAAUACCGCAUACCAUCGGAUGUGCCCAGAUGGGAUUAGCUAGUAGGUGGGGUAACGGCUCACCUAGGCGACGAUCCCUAGCUGGUCUGCGAGGAUGACCCGCCACACUGGGACGGAGACACGUUCCAGACUCCUACGUGAGGCAGCAGGUGGGAAUAUUGCACACUGGGCGCAAGCCUGAUGCAGCCAUGCCGCGUGUAUGAAGAAGGCCUUCGGGUUUUAAAGUACUGUCAGCGAGGAGGCGUUACUCGCAGAAGAAGCACCGGCUAACUCCGUGCCAGCAGCCGCGGUAAUUC
rnacentral:rRNA from 1 species